rnacentral:rRNA from 1 species
UUUUAAAUUUAGAGUUUGAUCCUGGCUCAGGACGAACGCUGGCGGCGUGCUUAACACAUGCAAGUCGAGCGAUGAAGCUUCCUUCGGGAAGUGGAUUAGCGGCGGACGGGUGAGUAACACGUGGGUAACCUGCCUCAAAGUGGGGGAUAGCCUUCCGAAAGGAAGAUUAAUACCGCAUAAUAUAAGAGAAUCGCAUGAUUUUCUUAUCAAAGAUUUAUUGCUUUGAGAUGGACCCGCGGCGCAUUAGCUAGUUGGUAAGGUAACGGCUUACCAAGGCAACGAUGCGUAGCCGACCUGAGAGGGUGAUCGGCCACAUUGGAACUGAGACACGGUCCAGACUCCUACGGGAGGCAGCAGUGGGGAAUAUUGCGCAAUGGGGGAAACCCUGACGCAGCAACGCCGCGUGGGUGAUGAAGGUCUUCGGAUUGUAAAGCCCUGUUUUCUAGGACGAUAAUGACGGUACUAGAGGAGGAAGCCACGGCUA